GGAGGGAGCGAACGUUGUUCGGAUUUACUGGGGGGCGUAAAGGGGCGCGUAGGGCGGGCUUUGUAAGUCAGGGGUGAAAUGUCUCGGCUCAACCGAGGACCUGCCCUUUGAAACUACAGGGCUUGAGGCCGUGAGAGGAGACUGGAAUUCCUAGUGUAGCGGUGAAAUGCAUAGAUAUUAGGAAGAACACCAGUGGCGAAGGCGAGUCUCUGGCACGGUUCUGACGCUGAGGCGCGAAAGCCAGGGGAGCGAACGGGAUUAGAUACCCCGGUAGUCCUGGCCGUAAACGAUGGGUACUAAAUGUCGGCCGAUCGACCCGGUCGGUGUUGGAGCUAACGCGUUAAGUACCCGCCUGGGGAGUACGACCGCAAGGUUG
rnacentral:rRNA from 1 species